rnacentral:rRNA from 1 species
AUUGAACGCUGGCGGCAGGCUUAACACAUGCAAGUCGAGCGGAGAUGAGGUGCUUGCACCUUAUCUUAGCGGCGGACGGGUGAGUAAUGCUUAGGAAUCUGCCUAUUAGUGGGGGACAACAUUCCGAAAGGAAUGCUAAUACCGCAUACGUCCUACGGGAGAAAGCAGGGGAUCUUCGGACCUUGCGCUAAUAGAUGAGCCUAAGUCGGAUUAGCUAGUUGGUGGGGUAAAGGCCUACCAAGGCGACGAUCUGUAGCGGGUCUGAGAGGAUGAUCCGCCACACUGGGACUGAGACACGGCCCAGACUCCUACGGGAGGCAGCAGUGGGGAAUAUUGGACAAUGGGCGGAAGCCUGAUCCAGCCAUGCCGCGUGUGUGAAGAAGGCCUUUUGGUUGUAAAGCACUUUAAGCGAGGAGGAGGCUACCUGGAUUAAUACUCUAGGAUAGUGGACGUUACUCGCAGAAUAAGCACCGGCUAACUCUGUGCCAGCAGCCGCGGUAAUAC